UGACCUCAGCUCAAGAAAGACUACCCGCUGAAUUUAAGCAUAUUAAUAAUCGGAGGAAAAGAAACUAACUAGGAUUCCCUCAGUAACGGCGAGUGAAGCGGGAAAAGCUCAAAUUGUAAAGCUACGUGGGUUUCACGUCGCGUUGUAAAUUCAAGAAACGUUUUCUCUUAUGGGUCUGAUUUAAUUGGAAAGCAGCAUCAUAGAGGGUGAAAAUCCCGUCUUUGAUUGGAAUGCUAUAAAUCUACGAUGCGUUUUCGAAGAGUCAGGUUGUUUAGGAAUGCAGCCUAAAAUGGAUGGUAAAUUUCAUUAAAAGCUAAAUAUUGCCACGAGACCGAUAGCGAACAAGUACCGUGAGGGAAAGAUGAAAAGAACUUUGAAAAGAGAGUUAAAUAGUACUUGAAACUGUUAAAAGGGAAUCUUAUGAGGCUAGUAUUUGGACUUGUCAUAAUCAAUUAGUCGUAUUGCGGACUGGUUGACUCGGGAGUGUUAAAACCUCGAGUUGGCAGUGUAUUUGACCGAUUAGUGCACUUGUGAUUUGUUCAGGCCAGCAUCAGUUUGAGGUGGUGUAUGAGGGUAUUUGGAAGGUGAUUUCACCCCUUGUGGGUGGAAUGUUAUAGCCGUUUAACACUGCAUGGCGUCAGACUGAGGAGUCGCGGAACGUGCCUUUUGGCUAGCUCCCUGCUGCAUAGGCGGCCCGAAAUGUAGUGUGACAUAAGUCCGCUAUAACAGAGGGACGACUACGUGGUAGGUGCGUAUAAACGUUUUGAGGAUGUUGGCAAAAUGGCCUUAUCAGUCCCGUCUUAAAACACAGACCAAGGAGUCUAACAUAUAUGCGAGUCUUUGGGUGACAAACCCGCAGGCGCAAUGAAAGUGAAGGCUAACAUGGUUAGCUGAGGUGAGAUCCGCAAGGUGCAUCAUCGACCGAUCUGAAUGGUUUCCUGAAAGAUUUGAGUAAGAGCACAUAUGUUGGGACCCGAAAGAUGGUGAACUAUGCCUGAAUAGGGUGAAGUCUGAAGAAAUUCAGAUGGAAGCUCGUAGCGAUUCUGACGUGCAAAUCGAUUGUCAAAUUUGGGUAUAGGGGCGGAAGACUAAUCGAACUAUCUAGUAGCUGGUUACCUCCGAAGUUGCCCUCAGGAUAGCUGGAACUAUCACGCAGUUUUAU
rnacentral:ncRNA from 1 species